rnacentral:lncRNA from 10 species
GGAGCAUUGACAAUACCUGCCACAUUUUCAUUUGCAGGAUUGUGUUCAUCAGCACUACAGUCUCUACCCACUUGAUACAGCACCUACCCUGCCAUGUCCACAUGGAAUUCAACUUGCUCAUGCACAAAAUCAAGCCAGCACAAUUGUUUUGAAAGUUAUAGCAUUGUUGGAUAAAUACCAUAAUGGGCAGCGGAAUUUGUAGUAAAACACAGGAGGUGAUCUGUCCCUGGGAUUCAGGUGUCAACCCAAAAGAAAAACACAAUAAGGAAAUGCAAGUACCCAUGAAAAAGAACUCAUCCUGCAUUGCACAGCAUAUCUGUUUAUCGUCUUGAACUGGCUGCAAAAGAUACCUAAUUGCUCUUACUUCGCUCAAAAAUAAAAGCUUCAAAGUGCUGUCAUUUUCCACUGAGUUUCAGAACAGCUGAUCAUCUCAUGCACUCGCUCUGUACUUAGACCACACUAAGUUUGCAUCUCUCAAUUCAGCCAGGACAUCUGUCCUGCUCUGCAUCAGAGCCCUCAG